rnacentral:rRNA from 1 species
CCUACGGGAGGCAGCAGUGGGGAAUCUUGCGCAAUGGGCGAAAGCCUGACGCAGCCAUGCCGCGUGAAUGAUGAAGGUCUUAGGAUUGUAAAAUUCUUUCAGUAGGGACGAUAAUGACGGUACCUACAGAAGAAGCCCCGGCUAACUUCGUGCCAGCAGCCGCGGUAAUACGAAGGGGGCUAGCGUUGCUCGGAAUUACUGGGCGUAAAGGGAGCGUAGGCGGACAUUUAAGUCAGGGGUGAAAUCCCAGAGCUCAACUCUGGAACUGCCUUUGAUACUGGGUGUCUUGAGUGUGAUAGAGGUAUGUGGAACUCCGAGUGUAGAGGUGAAAUUCGUAGAUAUUCGGAAGAACACCAGUGGCGAAGGCGACAUACUGGAUCAUUACUGACGCUGAGGCUCGAAAGCGUGGGGAGCAAACAGGAUUAGAUACCCUGGUAGUCCACGCCGUAAACGAUGAUUGNUAGUGUGGUUGUUACUACUCGUGACGCAGCUACGACAUAAGACAUCGCCGUGGGAGGUACGGUCGCGAGAAGUAAACUAACUAAUAGUUAAGUUAGUAGCGUUGAGAGNGCCGACGGACGACGACGAGGGAGGAGG